UUGCAUCGAUGAAGAACGCAGCGAAAUGCGAUAAGUAAUGUGAAUUGCAGAAUUCAGUGAAUCAUCGAAUCUUUGAACGCACAUUGCGCCCCUUGGUAUUCCGAGGGGCAUGCCUGUUCGAGCGUCAUUACACCACUCAAGCUAUGCUUGGUAUUGGGUGCCGUCCUUAGUUGGGCGCGCUUUAAAGACCUCGGCGAGGCCUCACCGGCUUUAGGCGUAGUAGAAUUUAUUCGAACGUCUGUCAAAGGAGAGGACUUCUGCCGACUGAAACCUUUUAUAUUUUUUCUAGGUUGACCUCGGAUCAGGUAGGGAUACCCGCUGAACUUAAGCAUAUCAAUAAGCGGAGGAA
rnacentral:rRNA from 1 species